UGAAAAUGGAAAUGGGGAAUGUGCCAAAGAGACAACAACCCGACAAUAGAAAAAAACAACAGCAGAAGGUCACCAACAGGUCUUCAAUGUAGCGAGAAGUUCCCGCACCCGGAGGCGUCCUUCAACUGGCCUCUAAACAAAUAUAUACUAGUUCAGUGAUAAUGAACGCCAUACUUAUUUCCAAAUUGUACACAAGAAACUAAAAUUAAAAUAAUACAAGACUAACAAAACCAGAGGCUCCAGACUUGGGACAGGCGCAAAAAUGCGGCGGGGUUAAACAUGUUUGUGAGAUCUCAACCCUCCCCCUAUACCUCUAGCCAAUGUAGAAAAGUAAACGCAUAACAAUAUGCACAUUAAAAUUCAGUUCAAGAGAAGUCUGAGUCUGAUGUCAGAAGAUGUAACCGAAACAUACAUCUAAUGUAAUUAUAUACAUAUAAAAGUAGAUUCUAC
rnacentral:lncRNA from 1 species